rnacentral:rRNA from 1 species
UGGGGAAUAUUGCACAAUGGGCGCAAGCCUGAUGCAGCAACGCCGCGUGAACGAUGAAGGUCUUCGGAUCGUAAAGUUCUGUUGCAGGGGAAGAUAAUGACGGUACCCUGUGAGGAAGCCCCGACUAACUACGUGCCAGCAGCCGCGGUAAUACGUAGGGGGCUAGCGUUAUCCGGAUUUACUGGGCGUAAAGGGUGCGUAGGUGGUCCUUCAAGUCGGUGGUUAAAGGCUACGGCUCAACCGUAGUAAGCCGCCGAAACUGGAGGACUUGAGUGCAGGAGAGGAAAGUGGAAUUCCCAGUGUAGCGGUGAAAUGCGUAGAUAUUGGGAGGAACACCAGUAGCGAAGGCGGCUUUCUGGACUGCAACUGACACUGAGGCACGAAAGCGUGGGUAGCAAACAGG